UUGAUUCUGUCGAAUUUGAGGCUCACUCUAUCCGCAUCUUCUUUGCCUGAAGACGUACAAGUAGAUUCAUGAUAGCAGAGACAUUAGGAAGUGUUCAAUUUUACUGAGAAUUGAGAAAUGUAUAUAGAGGAGAAAUAACGAACCUUGGAGUGGAUCAUAAAAGCCUAACACCUCGAUUUGUUUACCGUCCCUGCGCGAUUUUUCAUCGGCGACAACUACACGAUAGAAGGGUCGGUGUUUACAACCAAGACGCGCGAGCCUUAUCUUCACCGUCAUCUCUGCUUGGAAAUUGAGGUCUGAGAAGUGAGAAGAAAGAAGAUA
rnacentral:sRNA from 1 species